GACGAACGCUGGCGGCGUGCUUAACACAUGCAAGUCGCACGGAAAGGCCCUGCUUUUGUGGGGUGCUCGAGUGGCGAACGGGUGAGUAACACGUGAGUAACCUGCCCUUGACUUUGGGAUAACUUCAGGAAACUGGGGCUAAUACCGGAUAGGAGCUCCUGCUGCAUGGUGGGGGUUGGAAAGUUUCGGCGGUUGGGGAUGGACUCGCGGCUUAUCAGCUUGUUGGUGGGGUAGUGGCUUACCAAGGCUUUGACGGGUAGCCGGCCUGAGAGGGUGACCGGCCACAUUGGGACUGAGAUACGGCCCAGACUCCUACGGGAGGCAGCAGUGGGGAAUAUUGCACAAUGGGCGGAAGCCUGAUGCAGCAACGCCGCGUGCGGGAUGACGGCCUUCUGGUUGUAAACCGCUUUCGCCUGUGACGAAGCGUGAGUGACGGUAAUGGGUAAAGAAGCACCGGCUAACUACGUG
rnacentral:rRNA from 1 species